AUGUACGUUUCCGAAAAUCAAGGGGGCAUAGGUUUUUGUGAUGUUCAUUGUUUCAAUCUGGCGAUGUUGACAAAAUAAGCAUGGCAUCUUCUUGAGAACCCGGAGUCCUUAUGUGCUACCAUUUUGCGAGCAAAAUAUUUUUCUGAUGGUGAUUUAUUGAAUACUAAUUUAAAAGGGAGCCUCAUUUACCUGGCAAAGUAUCAUGGCAUGCUGGGAAUGGUCAGAAUAUUGAUAUUUGGGAACAUGUUUGGAUCUCGAAUUGUGCUAAUAGAAAAUUUAUCACUUGUAAAAGGGGAUAUAUGA
rnacentral:rRNA from 1 species